GCUGACAGGCCUGCUCCUGGGUAGGAGAGAAGGGGGAGACGGAGAGAGACAGUCCAGCUGCCCCUCCAGCCUGGGGCCUGCAGACUGCGUGGGUCUGGAGCCAUCAGACAGUGGGGGAAGCCCAGGGGCGCGAGCCGUGGGGUCUGGGAGCGGGAACUCACGGUCCGCUCCCGGCCGCCCGGGAAAAGCGUGCGUGGCGAUGUGGAGAACCGCGUGGGGGCCCGCGUCUGGCGUCCGGCGGAGGCGGGUGUCAUCAGCUCUCGGGUGAGAUCAAGUCCAAGGCCCAGACGAACGAACCCACCCGGGGAGGCGGUGCAGGUAAGACAGAGAGAUGCCCUGGCUGGAGGGUGAUGGAGCCUCCACAGGCGGCCAGGCAGGAGGCGGGGGUGGGGGGGGGGGGGGGGGGGGGAGCGUGAGGGUUCAGUGGGACAGGGUGCGUUGACAGAUGGGAACACAGGUAACAUGGUACCCGGGAGGCCUGGGGUGCUGGGGGGGUGGGGGCUCAGCCUGCACCACUCUUCCCCACCCCCCCCCCGCGACCACCCUCAAGAUCCUCCUGGUUCUGGAAGCCAGCGGGCUAGACCCCCACUCCCGAGGCACCGUGGAGUCUCUGCUCUCCGCACGUCUGUUCCCUCCCCUUCCGGCACCCUUCCUGCACCCUGCCCAGGCCAGUGGGCACCUCAGACCUCUCUGCCUACGGCCGGUGCCCUCACCCGAACCCCUAACCCCGUCCCUGGGGGUGGAGGGACGUCCCCUCUAGCACCUGUUAUUCUGAAAGGUCCGGUCAACGCGUUCCCGGCCUGCAGCAUGGCCUGGGGCAGGGCAAGUCCCUCCGGGCCUGGGCCCUGUGCAUCUCACUGUGCCUCGGGGCGGACAGGGGAGCUCAGGUGCCCCGCUGGCCCCAGCAGGCCCAGGGCAGCUGGGCCUCCUUGUGGAGAAGAGAAGCUGGCAGUGGGCCAGGCUGCCCACGGCUCUGUGUCCGGCAGUGGCGAGGGAGUGGCAGCUCGUGUUGGCAGCGCCUCAGGAACUGUGGCCAGCAGGCUCUGCCCUGCUCACCCCUCUUUCUGCUGCCUGGAUCUGCCUGAGCCUGUGGCCAAGCCGAGCCCCUGUGGGCUGACUCUCACUGCCCCCGCGGGAAAAGCCCCUGAUUCUCCGUUCGAAGGUGAGCGUUUGGCCAGGGCCCCAGACACGCUCUGCACGGAUCCUGGAGGUUCUGGAAAGAUUGCUGCUUAGUUACAGAGGGACGGCCAAGUAGCCUGACUUCCUGGAGGGAGCACGGUGUCCUUUUCCUCCUGUGGGGGUGGGGGGGGGGUCUGAGUCCUAUGGCCCUCCUUCCCACCCACGCUCUGGGUGAACGGGUGCAUCAUACGAAGCGGGUGGAGCGGAGGCCAGGCCGGAGGAGAGUGAGGGCCUGUGGGCUGUGAGGGUUUGCAGGUACUGAACCCCAGAUCAGGUGGACCGAUCCUCCCAGUGCAGACGGUGCGGGAGACCCUGCCUGUCCUCUUACGGUCUAGCCCUGGAACCCGCCGAGCGUCGUUUCUGCCCCGUGCCCUGGGUCAGAGCCGGCCCCGGGGCCAGCUCGGGUUCACGGCCUUGGAGAAACGAAUGUGCCUCCCAGCGGGGCAGCCGUCCUUAAUGCGCCGCAGACACGUCCGGCAUCUCGGGCGGGACCCGGCGCCUGGCACGCAGCCGGGGCUCCCGCAACAGCACUGGGUCGAACCGAGCCACCUGUCCCACAGGCGGCACGUGAACUGGCCAGAGGGCGGAUCAGAGCUCACAAAGAUGGCCUUGGCGGCCUCCCCUUGAUGGCCGCCAGCUUGGAGACGCAGAGCUGCCCCCGGGGGCCUCUGCGCGUUUGUGUGAACAGGCUUGCGGGGGUGGUGGCAUCUUGGGGGCUGAGAAGAAAGGAAGGGCUGGAGGAAAGAAGGGGCCCCCCAACCCUCCGGUCCCCCCGGGCCUCCCUUCACGGCCCCUCCCGGGCCCCAGCUUCCCCGUGGAAGGGGAGCCAGCCGGAGCUGGGGCUGGGCUGCAUUCCGAUUACAGGGCCAUUGAUGCCCCUGCUGACCGCCUGGCCGUCCCUGUUCCCCCGGCACAGAAAUAGCAAUCCAGGACCCAUGCUGGUGGGGCCGCUGUGUCACACAGCUUCCACGUGCUGGGGGGUUUUGUUCUGGUUUUAAACUGCUAACAAUUUAGAUUUUUUUUUUUUUCAAUUUAGAUUUGUUUUCUAGUGGGU
rnacentral:lncRNA from 1 species